CAGUAGCCGCGGUAAGACAGAGGAUGCAAGCGUUAUCCGGAAUGAUUGGGCGUAAAGCGUCUGUAGGUGGCUUUUCAAGUCCGCCGUCAAAUCCCAGGGCUCAACCCUGGACAGGCGGUGGAAACUACCAAGCUAGAGUACGGUAGGGGCAGAGGGAAUUUCCGGUGGAGCGGUGAAAUGCGUUGAGAUCGAAAAGAACACCAACGACGAAAGCACUCUGCUGGGUCGACACUGACACUGAGAGACGAAAGCUAGGGGAGCAAAUGGGAUUAGAUACCCCAGUAGUCCCUGUCUCUUAUAC
rnacentral:rRNA from 1 species